rnacentral:rRNA from 1 species
UACGGGGGGGGCAAGCGUUAUUCGGAUUCACUGGGCGUAAAGGGUGCGCAGGCGGCCGGGUGUGUCAGAUGUGAAAUCCCGAGGCCCAACCUCGGAACUGCCUUUGAUACUGGGGAUCUCGAGUCCGGGAGAGGUGAGUGGAACUGCGAGUGUAGAGGUGAAAUUCGUAGAUAUUCGCAAGAACACCAGUGGCGAAGGCGGCUCACUGGCCCGGUACUGACGCUGAGGUGCGAAAGCGUGGGGAGCAAACAGG